ensembl:lncRNA
CCGAAGCUGUCCCCAGAUUCCAGACAGCUAGGGGAAUGGUGGUGUGGGGGUGAUGGAGCGGGGAGACGAGCCAAUGGAGAAUACUGGCCAGUGACAGAAUUGCCCUGUGUGACGCACACGUAAGAAAUGAAUUCACGUGACUGCAGAACUGAUGAAGCAGAUCCUGUACUUCCCAGGACCUGACAAUGACAUCUCAGGACAGACCUAGGGACAGAGGGAUGAGAGACAGGGGCAAUCUGGGACCAAGAUUUUCUGCAGUGGAAAUUACUGGCUAAAUAAACCUAUCUCCUCAUUGACACAAAGCUAAGAAGAGAGAUCAGUUACAACAAAAAAAGAGAAAGAAAUGUGAUUAUUUCCUAAGUCGAGAAAUGGGAGGUUGGAGUGUCAGUCACUGGGGAGACAGAUCCAUCAUGGAGGUUGGCUUCUUAUUGCCCUUGCUCAGGAAUAUCUGAAAGGUCAUCAAAAGAGGGAAACAAGUAUCUGUGCCAUGGAGGAGCCUGAUCAGAGGCCAUAUUGCAGUCAAGUGACCAUCAUUUGGAGACUAAACACCCAAUCAAGUAACCCUCUGUAUCUGACCAAAUAAUUGAUUGCCGGAAAAUGCACAGGCUAAAAACAUUCCAACACAAGUCAGG